GUUGCUUUUAUUUUGUUGCUUGCUGCAAUACCUCUUGCUUCUAGUAGGUCUUUUAGUGUGGAUCUUUUUAGCUUAGCACUCUCCAUCCGUAUUCCAUUAGUCCCUGUUCCUUUGUGAGUCUGGAUCCCACCGCUGCCACCAAUGUAGCGGAGAGCUGCUCUUACACAGCUUAUCUCCACUUUAGAUCCCAGUAAGGCUCAGGAACAAGUAUUAUAAAU